CCUACGGGCGGCAGCAGUGAGGAAUAUUGGUCAAUGGACGAGAGUCUGAACCAGCCAAGUAGCGUGAAGGAUGACUGCCCUAUGGGUUGUAAACUUCUUUUAUAUGGGAAUAAAAUGUUCCACGUGUGGGAUUUUGUAUGUACCAUAUGAAUAAGGAUCGGCUAACUCCGUGCCAGCAGCCGCGGUAAUACGGAGGAUCCGAGCGUUAUCCGGAUUUAUUGGGUUUAAAGGGAGCGUAGGUGGAUUGUUAAGUCAGUUGUGAAAGUUUGCGGCUCAACCGUAAAAUUGCAGUUGAAACUGGCAGUCUUGAGUACAGUAGCGGUAGGCGGAAUGCGUGGUGUAGCGGUGAAAUGCUUAGAUAUCACGAAGAACUCCGAUUGCGAAGGCAGUUCACUGGACUGCAACUGACACUGAGGCUCGAAAGUGUGGGUAUCAAACAGGAUUAGAUACCCCAGUAGUC
rnacentral:rRNA from 1 species